UACGUAGGGUGCAAGCGUUGUCCGGAAUUAUUGGGCGUAAAGGGCUCGUAGGCGGUCCGUCACGUCGGGAGUGAAAACUUGGGGCUUAACCCCAAGCCUGCUUCCGAUACGGGCGGACUAGAGGUAUGCAGGGGAGAACGGAAUUCCUGGUGUAGCGGUGAAAUGACGCAGAUAUCAGGAGGAACACCGGUGGCGAAGGCGGGUCUCUGGGCCGUAACUGACGCUGAGGAGCGAAAGCGUGGGGAGCGGACAGG
rnacentral:rRNA from 1 species